rnacentral:lncRNA from 1 species
GUUUAACACUCAGAUUUCACCUCCUCCGGGGGCUGACCCGGAUCUCCUAGGCGGAGAUCUUUGAGGUUCCAAAGUACUUGGCCCAAAAGUUAUCCAAGUGUUCUGACGUCAUCGUGCAACCCAAUCAGUGAAGGAUCCUGUCUGGAUAUGCAUUGUCCUAGGCCCACCCACAAACGUUUGGAUUAAAGAUCUGAGACAGGACCCAAAGUUUGAAUUUUUAACAAGAGUGCUUCCCAACCCCCAAAUUGUUCCCAUGUCACGCUGCUGUAUCUCCCCUCACCCACCGAGACUGGGUGCAUCUUGAAGGGAGAGAUGAUAUAUUACUCAUUCGGUGCCCACCACAGGCCCUGCCCAGAACGCAUGCUUAAGGCAUGAAAGAUGGAUGCAUAGAAGCCAAUACAUGAAUUAGUGAACAAACGAAUGAACCCGCCCUCUCCACGUCUGUCCCACCCAUCCAACUCCAGUGACCUGUCCUCCUCAGCCUGACCACCUCUCUUUCUUACAGGGUCGAGGCUCUUUGUGCACCCUCCCAACCGAGUCUUGCAGCUGCAGGUGUGUACACAUGUUCCAGUUCCUCUCCCCAGGGAGAGCAGGAGGUCCACUGGCCAACACUUAUUAAGCACCUGGUGGGAGUCAUCUGUGCUUGGAAGUUUAUUGCUGUUCUGAUGUUGAAGGAUACUAUGCCAAGUGACCACACAGAGGGCAUGGUGUACUGCCCUUGUCUAGAGAACCUGUGAGCUUCCCAGACUUCCCCAGCAUGGUGGUUGGUGCAUUUUGCUGGGCAGGAUGGCAGCCUCCAUUUUCCAACUUGCUGUUCUGUGAUCUCUUGGACAGUAUUUAAACCCUGAAGAAAUAGAGUAAAUAUCAACAUGCCUUUAAAUAUUUUGUGUACAAAAAUUCCCAUAAACUGAGUUGGAAGGAUUUGGAAAUCACUUUUUUCUCUAUUUCUCAAAAAACCUGACAUUUAAAAAUUACAACUGUUUAGUUCUCUUAUAUUUGAUUCCUCCAUCCCUUAACUUUCUAUUCUCUUUAAAGCAUUCCAAUGGCUGUGGGCAUCACCCAACAUGUCAUAAAAUAGGAAGAGCUCUCCUAUUUUACGUAGCUGAGACGAAGAGGUCAACAUUGAAAGAGGCUCCUUGAGGGGUUUCUUGAGGAAGAAUCCAGAGAACAGGUUGGGGUCUAGCAGAGGUGCCCCAUUUUUAUGUAAACAGCUCUCUGGCGGGGGUGGGGGUGGAAUUUCUGUACCCACUACUCAUCCCCUUGUAGCUCUGUACUUUGCUGUGAUGUCUGAUGUCUACUCAUUGAAAAUCUGAUUUCUUGGGUUCCAUUUCUAUUAUUUCCUGGUUUUCCAUUUAACUAUCCCUAUGGAAGGGUGCAAGCAUUUGUGUUUUUUUAAAUAAUUUCUG